rnacentral:rRNA from 1 species
CCUACGGGUUGCAGCAGUGGGGAAUCUUGGACAAUGGGCGAAAGCCCGAUCCAGCAAUAUCGCGUGAGUGAAGAAGGGCAAUGCCGCUUGUAAAGCUCUUUCGUCGAGUGCGCGAUCAUGACGGUACCCGUAGAAGAAGCCCCGGCUAACUUCGUGCCAGCAGCCGCGGUAAUACGAAGGGGGCUAGCGUUGCUCGGAAUGACUGGGCGUAAAGGGCGCGUAGGCGGUUUAUGCAGUCAGAUGUGAAAUCCCCGGGCUUAACCUGGGAACUGCAUUUGAGACGCAUAGACUAGAGGUCGAGAGAGGGUUGUGGAAUUCCCAGUGUAGAGGUGAAAUUCGUAGAUAUUGGGGAGAACACCGGUGGCGAAGGCGGCAACCUGGCUCGAUACUGACGCUGAGGCGCGAAAGCGUGGGGAGCAAACAGGAUUAGAUACCCGGGUAGUC